GACGAACGCUGGCGGCGUGCUUAACACAUGCAAGUCGAACGGAAAGGCCCUGCUUUUGUGGGGUGCUCGAGUGGCGAACGGGUGAGUAACACGUGAGUAACCUGCCCUUGACUUUGGGAUAACUUCAGGAAACUGGGGCUAAUACCGGAUAGGAGCUCCUGCUGCAUGGUGGGGGUUGGAAAGUUUCGGCGGUUGGGGAUGGACUCGCGGCUUAUCAGCUUGUUGGUGGGGUAGUGGCUUACCAAGGCUUUGACGGGUAGCCGACCUGAGAGGGUGACCGGCCACAUUGGGACUGAGAUACGGCCCAGACUCCUACGGGAGGCAGCAGUGGGGAAUAUUGCACAAUGGGCGGAAGCCUGAUGCAGCAACGCCGCGUGCGGGAUGACGGCCUUCGGGUUGUAAACCGCUUUCGCCUGUGACGAAGCGUGAGUGACGGUAAUGGGUAAAGAAGCACCGGCUAACUACGUGCCAGCAGCCGCGGUGAUACGUAGGGUGCGAGCGUUGUCCGGAUUUAUUGGGCGUAAAGGGCUCGUAGGUGGUUGAUCGCGUCGGAAGUGUAAUCUUGGGGCUUAACCCUGAGCGUGCUUUCGAUACGGGUUGACUUGAGGAAGGUAGGGGAGAAUGGAAUCCCUGGUGGAGCGGUGGAAUGCGCAGAUAUCAGGAGGAACACCAGUGGCGAAGGCGGUUCUCUGGGCCUUUCCUGACGCUGAGGAGCGAAAGCGUGGGGAGCGAACAGGCUUAGAUACCCUGGUAGUCCACGCUGUAAACGGUGGGUACUAGGUGUGGGGUCCAUUCCACGGGUUCCGUGCCGUAGCUAACGCUUUAAGUACCCCGCCUGGGGAGUACGGCCGCAAGGCUAAAACUCAAAGGAAUUGACGGGGCCCCGCACAAGCGGCGGAGCAUGCGGAUUAAUUCGAUGCAACGCGUAGAACCUUACCUGGGUUUGACAUGGAUCGGGGGUGCUCAGAGAUGGGUGUGCCUCUUUUGGGGUCGGUUCACAGGUGGUGCAUGGCUGUCGUCAGCUCGUGUCGUGAGAUGUUGGGUUAAGUCCCGCAACGAGCGCAACCCUUGUUCACUGUUGCCAGCACGUUAUGGUGGGGACUCAGUGGAGACCGCCGGGGUCAACUCGGAGGAAGGUGGGGAUGACGUCAAGUCAUCAUGCCCCUUAUGUCCAGGGCUUCACGCAUGCUACAAUGGCUGGUACAGAGAGUGGCGAGCCUGUGAGGGUGAGCGAAUCUCGGAAAGCCGGCCUCAGUUCGGAUUGGGGUCUGCAACUCGACCUCAUGAAGUCGGAGUCGCUAGUAAUCGCAGAUCAGCAACGCUGCGGUGAAUACGUUCCCGGG
rnacentral:rRNA from 1 species